rnacentral:rRNA from 1 species
UACGUAGGGGGCUAGCGUUGUCCGGAUUUAUUGGGCGUAAAGAGCGUGUAGGCGGCCAGAUAGGUCUGCUGUGAAAACUCGAGGCUCAACCUCGAGACGUCGGUGGAAACCGUUUGGCUAGAGUCCGGAAGAGGAGAGUGGAAUUCCCGGUGUAGCGGUGAAAUGCGCAGAUAUCGGGAAGAACACCCGUGGCGAAGGCGGCUCUCUGGGACGGUACUGACGCUGAGACGCGAAAGCGUGGGGAGCAAACAGG